rnacentral:rRNA from 1 species
GACGAACGCUGGCGGCGUGCUUAACACAUGCAAGUCGAACGGAAAGGCCCUGCUUUUGUGGGGUGCUCGAGUGGCGAACGGGUGAGUAACACGUGAGUAACCUGCCCUUGACUUUGGGAUAACUUCAGGAAACUGGGGCUAAUACCGGAUAGGAGCUCCUGCUGCAUGGUGGGGGUUGGAAAGUUUCGGCGGUUGGGGAUGGACUCGCGGCUUAUCAGCUUGUUGGUGGGGUAGUGGCUUACCAAGGCUUUGACGGGUAGCCGGCCUGAGAGGGUGACCGGCCACAUUGGGACUGAGAUACGGCCCAGACUCCUACGGGAGGCAGCAGUGGGGAAUAUUGCACAAUGGGCGGAAGCCUGAUGCAGCAACGCCGCGUGCGGGAGGACGGCCUUCGGGUUGUAAACCGCUUUCGCCUGUGACGAAGCGUGAGUGACGGUAAUGGGUAAAGAAGACCGGCUAACUACGUG